rnacentral:lncRNA from 1 species
AGACUUAUAAACAGAUAACUGACAGUACCCUCUAUGAGCUAUGAAGGAAUGGAAGAAGCAAUUAAUCAUCCUUGGGGAAGACACUUCACAUAUGAGCUGGAAUUUGCAAGGUCUCAACUGAAAUACAACUCUCUCAAGAUGCCUGGAUAAAUCACCUCCUCCCAGUCCAGUUUCCUCAUCGUUUUAAUAGAGGGGUGGAUUUUGAAAAUUUCUUCUGACAUUCUGAAGAGCUUCUUCUGUGGUCAUUUUUUUAUGAAGUAAUUAGAAACUGAGAUACUUCUCCAGAAUAAAUUGUUGGCUUUUGGGAUAGUGGAAUGGAAGAAUGGAAGAAUCCAUUACAGCAAGUGAUUCCUGAGGAUGCCAGAACCUCCCUUUUAUGAAGCCUUCUUCUUCUUCCAUCUGACUUUAUCUCUACAAGGAUAGAACAGAUGAGCUAAACUGGUAGGCUUUUUUCCCUACGAUUUAGUUUAAUAAAAUUACUUAUACAUUAGAAUUGGAUAGAACUAAGUUGAUAUUAUAAUCUCACUACUUAUUAAGUAUUCUUAAACAAAUAGUUUAACAUUCAUUAAUUUUAAUUCUUUCAUCUAAAACUUGGAGGCUGUCCUGGAAAAUCAUGAGAUACAGUAAACACCGUAAAAAUGUUAGCAAUUUUAAAUAAUAAUUAAAUCUAAGAGCAUGCUUUUCUUCAGUUAGAGUGGCAGAUGUUUUGAUGUCUUUCUUAUAGAAGUUCAGCAAAUAUUUAAAAUUACUACAGACAAUCACUGUUUUUGGUUCAGAAUGGGCAUCAUGACUUGAUAAAGGAUAUACUUUCUGUAAAUGGUGAAUUUAUUUAUUAAAAUGUUUUUAAGUGUCGAAACACCUGGUAAUUAAAUGGCCUUUGUUCUAAAUAAAUACAAUUUAAUAGAAUUAGGACAAUUGUGGACACUCCAGGAUAUAAAAUAUUUACUGACAAAUAUGGGUGGUGCUUCAGUGACCAAAAAAAAAAAAAAAAAAAAAGAUUACAGAAUCUACCUAGUAUUUUCUCUGAGUCUGCUUAACUUUCUUACUUUAAACUGAACUUUAAAAAAUAAAAAUAAAAACCCAAAACAAAACAUCUUUUUUGAACUUGCUAAAGAAUA